GUGCUCGCUUUGGCAGCACAUAUGCUAAAAUUGGAACAAUACAGAAAAGAUUAGCAUGGCUCCUGCGCAAGGAUGAUACGCAAAUUUUUGGUACAUUUACACAAUGGA